rnacentral:rRNA from 1 species
AGAGUUUGAUUCUGGCUCAGAGCGAACGUUAGCGGCAGGCUUAACACAUGCAAGUCGAGCGAGAAAGGGGCUUCGGCCCUGAGUAAAGCGGCGGACGGGUGCGUAACACGUGGAUAAUCUGCCCUUCAGUGGGAAUAACAUUCCGAAAGGAAUGCUAAUGCCGCAUGUCACAGCGCUUUCUCCGGAUCGCGCUGGAAAAGGGGACGCCCGCAAGGGGUUCUCGCUGGAGGAUGAGUCCGCGGCCCAUCAGCUUGUUGGCGGGGUAAUGGCCCACCAAGGCGAAGACGGGUAGCUGGUCUGAGAGGAUGACCAGCCACACUGGGACUGAGACACGGCCCAGACUCCUACGGGAGGCAGCAGUGGGGAAUAUUGGACAAUGGGCGAAAGCCUGAUCCAGCCAUGCCGCGUGAGUGAUGAAGGUCUUCGGAUCGUAAAGCUCUGUGGGAAGGGACGAAAAAUGCCGACCUAAUACGUCGGAACUUGACGGUACCUUCUUAGCAAGCACCGGCUAACUCCGUGCCAGCAGCCGCGGUAAUACGGAGGGUGCAAACGUUGCUCGGAAUCAUUGGGCGUAAAGCGCACGUAGGCGGUUCGGUAAGUCGGAUGUGAAAUCCCUCGGCUCAACCGAGGAAGUGCAUCCGAAACUGCCGAGCUUGAGUACGGAAGAGGGUCUCGGAAUUCCCGGUGUAGAGGUGAAAUUCGUAGAUAUCGGGAGGAACACCAGUGGCGNNNNCGGAGACCUGGGCCGAUACUGACGCUG